AUUGAACGCUGGCGGCAGGCCUAACACAUGCAAGUCGAUCGAGCGGCGGACGGGUGAGUAAUGUCUUGGUAACUGCCUGAUGGAGGGGGAUAACUACUGGAAACGGUAGCUAAUACCGCAUACCAUCAGAUGUGCCCAAAUGGGAUUAGCUAGUAGGUGGGGUAACGGCUCACCUAGGCGAAGAUCCCUAGCUGGGCUGAGCGGAUGACCAGCCACAAGUGAACUGAGACACGGUCCAGACUCCUACGGGAGGCAGCAGUGGGGAAUAUUGCACAAUGGGCGCAAGCCUGAUGCAGCCAUGCCGCGUGUGUGAAGAAGGCCUUCGGGUUGUAAAGCACUUUCAGCGGGGAGGCGUUACCCGCAGAAGAAGAACCGGCUAACUCCGUGCCAGCAGCCGCGGUAAUAC
rnacentral:rRNA from 1 species